UACGUAGGGUGCGAGCGUUAAUCGGAAUUACUGGGCGUAAAGCGUGCGCAGGCGGUUUGUUAAGACAGAUGUGAAAUCCCCGGGCUUAACCUGGGAACUGCAUUUGUGACUGGCAAGCUAGAGUAUGGCAGAGGGGGUAGAAUUCCACGGUGUAGCAGUGAAAUGCGUAGAGAUGUGGAGGAAUACCGAUGGCGAAGGCAGCCCCUGGGCCAUACUGACGCUCAUGCACGAAAGCGUGGGGAGCAAACAGG
rnacentral:rRNA from 1 species